rnacentral:rRNA from 1 species
AGAUUGAACGCUGGCGGCGUGCCUAACACAUGCAAGUCGAGCGGUAACAGGUGUAGCAAUACAUGCUGACGAGCGGCGAACGGGUGAGUAAUGCUUUGGAAUCUUCCCAGUAGUGGGGAAUAACCAGUCGAAAGAUUGGCUAAUACCGCAUACGUCUGUAAAGGGAAAGCGGGGGCUCGUAAGACCUCGCGCUACUGGAUGAGCCAAAGUCGGAUUAGCUAGUUGGUGGGUAAUGGCCUACCAAGGCGACAAUCCGUAGCUGGUCUGAGAGGACGACCAGCCACACCGGAACUGAGACACGGUCCGGACUCCUACGGGAGGCAGCAGUGGGGAAUAUUGGACAAUGGGGGAAACCCUGAUCCAGCGACGCCGCGUGUGUGAAGAAGGCCUGCUGGUUGUAAAACACUUUUAGUGGGGACAAAAGCUACGGAUUAAUACUCUGUGGUCUUGAUUUAACCCAAAGAAAAGCACCGGCUAACUCUGCGCCAGCAGCCGCGGU